AGAGUUUGAUCAUGGCUCAGGAUGAACGCUGGCGGCGUGCCUAAUACAUGCAAGUCGAGCGAAUGGAUUAAGAGCUUGCUCUUAUGAAGUUAGCGGCGGACGGGUGAGUAACACGUGGGUAACCUGCCCAUAAGACUGGGAUAACUCCGGGAAACCGGGGCUAAUACCGGAUAACAUUUUGAACCGCAUGGUUCGAAAUUGAAAGGCGGCUUCGGCUGUCACUUAUGGAUGGACCCGCGUCGCAUUAGCUAGUUGGUGAGGUAACGGCUCACCAAGGCAACGAUGCGUAGCCGACCUGAGAGGGUGAUCGGCCACACUGGGACUGAGACACGGCCCAGACUCCUACGGGAGGCAGCAGUAGGGAAUCUUCCGCAAUGGACGAAAGUCUGACGGAGCAACGCCGCGUGAGUGAUGAAGGCUUUCGGGUCGUAAAACUCUGUUGUUAGGGAAGAACAAGUGCUAGUUGAAUAAGCUGGCACCUUGACGGUACCUAACCCAAAAG
rnacentral:rRNA from 1 species